CAGUGAUCUCCCUGCCUCAGCCUCCCAAGUAGCUGGGACUACAGGUAUGCACCACCACAUCCAGCUAAUUUUUAAAUUUUUUUGUAGAGACAGAGUCUUGCUAUGUUGCUCAGGCUGGUCUCUAAUUCCUGGCCUCAAGGAAUUCUCUCAGCUUGGCCUCCCAAAGUGCUGGAAUUAUAGAUGUGAGCCACCAUACCUGGCCAGUUUGUCCUUUUUAGAUUCCACAUAUAAAUGAGAUCAUGCAGUGUUUGUCUUUCUGUGCUUGGUUUAUUUCUCUUAGCAUAAUGUCCUUCAGGUUUAUCUGUGUUGUUGCAAAUGACAGGAUUUCCUUCUUUGUUAAGGCUGAAUAGUAUUCCAUUGUUUAUAUAACCACAUUUUCUUUAUCUAUUCGUCCAUCUGUUGGUAAACACUUUGGUUGAUUCUGUAUCUUGGCUAUUAUGAACAGUGCUGCAAUGAACAUGGGAGUGCAGGUAUUUCUUCAACAUACAGACCUCAUUUCCUUUGGAUAUGUACCCAGGAUUGCUGGAUCUUAUAGCAGUUCUAUUUUAAGUUUUUGAGAAACCUUCAUACUAUUUUCCAUAAUGGUUGUACUAAUUUACGUUUUCACCAAUACCCCUUUAGAAUGAAUGUUCAUGUUUUCUCUUCAUAGGAGGCCAAUUGUUUCUAGUCUCAUUGUCAAGAUGGUGACCAAACUGUCAUUUGAUAAUCCCUCAGCACGGAACCUGGUACCACUGUGGGUGAAGCAAGCUACAGAGGCCGGAUCCUCUAAUGCUGUCUAUUAUUGUUAGACCAGACUUCUGCAGCCGGCUUCACCCAAAGGGCUGCAGAGUCUCCCUCCUUCCCACUCUGCCUCUGCUAAACUCAAUGUCUGAGUCCUUGAGCACUUCAGUGAAGGGGCUUGAUGGAAGGUCUCAGAUAAUAUGUUUAUUAUUUCCCAGACACCCUCCCCUAUCCUCAGCUCCAAAUCCAUUUAUCUCUCCCAUAAAGUGCUUAUUGACAGAGAACUUGAGUGCUCAGAAUGAUGCCAACUGAAGACAAGCCUCUCCAAAUACAGCAGUCCUGUCUCCCCUUGAUCUCCCCAGGCUGAAUCCAAAACAGCUGUGUUUCUGCCUCAACCUCAAGGAUUAGCUCAGGGACUCUCCCUCCUCCCACCACCAACUGCUUUCUUGGGUCGUUGAUUUUUCAGAGAGAAAAUGCCUGUGGUAGCGGCACGAAAUAGCACUGCUCAGCCUCUAGAAGAGGUUUGCAAGCUCAUUCAGCCAAAAAGUAAUUAUAUUGAGCCUCCCAGAGAGCCUCUGCUCCACCCACAUUUGCAAAUACUCUUUUACUACAUACUCUGUGUUUCUAAGUCUGUAAUUCAGAUUCUUCUUUUGUUAGUUAAGAAGAGUGUGGGUUUUCAGGUAUGCAGCAAAAGAAAAAGAGUCCAUAAAUAAUAGAACUUAAGGGAGAGGCAGAGCUUAACACACGCAUUUGAGCCCAAUGUCUGAUUUCAUGCAGGUUGCAGCCUGAUUUCUCUUGGGUCAUUUCUACUCUAGCUGGGCCUACUUGAAUGAUCUGAUCUGGUUAAAGUUUAUCAUCCAGAAUGAAUUAGCUACAGUCUCACUUCUACAGGAAUAGCAGGAUCAAAUGACUUCCAGCUUGAUGUUUCCCUGAAUUCUACCAUCAAGCAAAACUGUCAUUCAUUCACGCUACAAUUAGUAAGGCACUGUGCAAGAGUCACUUGGUUAUAAAGAGAAAUCCUCAUCUUAAGGAGUUUACAGUCUGGAAAAGAAGACAAGAGGUUCAAUGUGGCACUUUGUUAUUAGGAGAUGCAGAGGCCUGGAUUCAAAUUCCGCUCCUGCCCUGGGAAAGUCCACUUAACCUUUCUGUGCCUCAGUUUUCUCAUGUGUAAAAUGUGGCUCACAAUUGUAUUAUCCCAAAAGGUUUCUGUGAAGAUUAAAAGAGAUAAUAUAUGUAAAGCGUGUAUGACAAUGCCUGGCACCUAGUAUUGCUUUUAGCUAUUACUAUCAUAAGAGAGCUACAAAUAGAAAUGAUAUGUAGCAAAAUACUGUGAGAUGCUGUGUUAGUCCAUUCUCAUAUUGCUAUAAACAACUAUCUAAGACUGGAUAAUUUAUUUUAAAAAAAGAUUUUAUUGGUUCACAAUUCCAUAGGCUAUACAGGAAGCGUAACUAGGGAGGCCUCAGGAAACUUACAAUCAUGGCAGAAGGCAAAGAAUAAGCUGGGACAUCUUCACAUGGUCAGAGCAGGACAGAGAGAAGAAGGAGGUGCUACACACUUUUAAACAACCAGAUCUUGGGAGAAUGAACUCACUACACAAGAACAGCAAGGGAGAAAUUCGCCCCCAUGAUCCAAUCACCUCCCACCAUGUCCCUCCUCUAACACUGGGGAUUAUUCAACAUACGAUUUGGGUGGGGACACAAAUCCAAACCAUGUCAGACCCAGAGGAGGAUGAGGUGCUAUUUAUUUGGAGGAGGGCAGUAUAAGGAGUGUGGUUAUAUUCCAAGUAAAAAGCUAAGCAACAGACAAUAAAAACCUGAACUAGACUAUACUAUACCAUACUAUACUAUAUACUGUUAUUAAACAAGGUUUAUGGGAGGCCAUUGUUUUGGAUUAGCCCCUUUCACUAGGCCCCAGCAGACCAGACCAAACCAGAAUGGAGUCACUCAUGUUAAGUGCCACAUAAUCAAUGUUCAGGUGCCACUGAACUCUAAAAUGUGAGAGUUUUCCAAAAAAACAGGAAAUUCACAGCAACCCAUCAAAAGGGGUUCAAUUUACCUGAGCCUGCAUGAUAAAGAAGUUCUCUCUGCUUUAACUCUAUGAGAAAAGCAAUUUGAAACCAUCAAUUCAAGUUUUGUUCUGUUUCUGCUUUCUCCAGCCCUUUUCUGCCUAUAAAGCCAACUCUUUCUACUCAGCUUCUUGGAACAUUUAUUCUAUUUUAUAGAAUGAGGUGUUGCCCUAUGCUAGAAUCACAAAUAAAAGCCCACUAGACCUUUAAACUAGAUUUGUUGUAAAUUUCACUCUUGACAAUACACUAUACUAGAAUAAAGAUAAAGGGGCUGGCCAACUUUAAGAGAUGUGGUGGUAGAAUAAACAAGGGUUUGGCAUGCAUUAAUUAGGGUGGACAGUUGAUAAGAGCGAGUCAGAGGCUGUUCCAAGGGUCAAGUAUCAGCAAGUUGAGGAAUGAUGGGGUCAUGAAUCAACUGGGAAGUCAGAAAGAAACAAACUUGUUUGUGGAAGAAUGUGACCGGCUUGUUUUUGGUCAUGUUGAGUUUGAGGCAUUAGUGGAAUAUCCUGGUAGGAACAUCUUGGAUCUCUGAGACAAGUGUCCUCAAACUCCCGAAUUAUUGCCAUACCUGUUACCUGCUUUUCCACCUUUCCCUCUUUUUUGAUCAAUCCAGCAGUUGGAAACUAUAUUCAAAGGAAAGGAUGAAUUCUGGAGAUACUGAAAUGUCAUCAGCAAAAAGACAUGGUUGAGGGUUAUGAUUAAAUGUCCAGAGAGAAGGUAAAUAUGGAAUCUUGGACGAGGUGUGCAUUUAAGGUUCUAGAAUAGAACCUUAAUUCUUUCUAGAAUAGAAAGAACCACCUAGCAAAAGAAGAAAAAGAACUGUCUCUUUCCAGGAAAACAAUACACCAACCAGCCAUCAGUGUAAGUAUUUCAGGCUCAUCAGCAAUAUGAAUGUCACUAAUGCAUUGCUCUACAUAAAAGAGAGUGGAGAGUAAGUUAGGGAAGGCAAAGGAGGCUGGGUGCGGUGGCUCAUGCCUGUAAUCUCAGCACUUUGGGAGGCACAAGUUCAGGAGAUCAAGACCAUCCUGGCCAAUGUGGUGAAACUCCAUCUCUACUAAAAAUACAAAAAUUACCUGGGCGUGGUGGCACGUGCCUGUAAUCCCAGCUACUCGGGAGGCUGAGGCCGGAGAAUCGCUUGAACCAGGGAGUCAGAUGUUGCAGUGAGCUGAGAUUACACCACUGCACUCCAGCCUGGUGACAAAGCGAGAUUCCAUCUCAAAGAAAAAAAAAAGGUAUCUGUCAAGCCACCUUUGAUUGAGUCAUCAAACUAUCAUUCACUUUUUUUUUUUUUUUUUUGAGAUGGAGUCUCACCCUGUCACCCAGACUGGAGUGCAAUGGCGUGAUCUCGGCUAACUACAAACUCUGCCUCGUGGGAUCAAGUGAUUCUCCUGCCUCAGCCUCCCAAGUAGCUGGGAUUACAGGUAUGCAGCAUGACGCCCAACUAAUUUUUUGUAUCUUCAGUAGAGAUGGG
rnacentral:lncRNA from 1 species